UUUGAGAGAGGAGGUGAAAAGAAGAGAGAAAGUGAGAACGCGAAGGGAAAACGCGAAGGAGAGAAGACGGGAGGAAAAUCAACCGCGAUUCCACUCUGGUUUCCUUCUAUUAGUGGCAGAGGCAGUGGUUUCCGAGGAUGAGCAUAUCGCGAAGGCCGUUUACAGUGGUUGGAGCGGUUUAGGGUCGUUUUCCAUGCAAUGAACCGCCAUCCAUGAUGAUGAUUUCUCUUCUCCUUGAUUCGGUUCUUUAUCUCGGUUUGGGCUAUGAAGAGAGAUUGAGUGUUGAUUUAUUUUAAGCUAUAGGAGAUGGUUGAUAUAUAACUUGAGAGAAUCUUCUUAUUAAAGCAUCUGAAGAAAUUGGGGGUGGGUAGGGUUUAGUUAGUUUUGAAUUUCUUUGCUAUUUAUUAUCAGUUUUUUUAUGUAUUUGGGCCGGACAAAAUUGAGUGUUCACAACUGCCCCUCUUUACUUGUUGCUUACUUGAAAGCAAGUAAACUGAAGGCUAUCAAAGUGAGUAACUAGUAAAUAAAAUAACAUUAAUUUUUU